UUAAGCGACUAAGCGUACACGGUGGAUGCCCUGGCAGUCAGAGGCGAUGAAGGACGUGCUAAUCUGCGAAAAGCGUCGGUAAGGUGAUAUGAACCGUUAUAGCCGGCGAUGUCCGAAUGGGGAAACCCAGUGUGAUUCGUCACACUAUCGUUAACUGAAUACAUAGGUUAACGAGGCGAACCGGGGGAACUGAAACAUCUAAGUACCCCGAGGAAAAGAAAUCAACCGAGAUUCCCCCAGUAGCGGCGAGCGAACGGGGAGCAGCCCAGAGUCUGAAUCAGCUUGUGUGUUAGUGGAACGGUCUGGAAAGUCCGACGGUACAGGGUGAUAGUCCCGUACACCAAAAUGCACAGGCUGUGAACUCGAAGAGUAGGGCGGGACACGUGGUAUCCUGUCUGAAUAUGGGGGGACCAUCCUCCAAGGCUAAAUACUCCUGACUGACCGAUAGUGAACCAGUACCGUGAGGGAAAGGCGAAAAGAACCCCGGCGAGGGGAGUGAAAAAGAACCUGAAACCGUGUACGUACAAGCAGUGGGAGCACCUUCGGGUGUGACUGCGUACCUUUUGUAUAAUGGGUCAGCGACUUAUAUUCUGUAGCAAGGUUAACCGUAUAGGGGAGCCGCAGGGAAACCGAGUCUUAACUGGGCGUUAAGUUGCAGGGUAUAGACCCGAAACCCGGUGAUCUAGCCAUGGGCAGGUUGAAGGUUGGGUAACACUAACUGGAGGACCGAACCGACUAAUGUUGAAAAAUUAGCGGAUGACUUGUGGCUGGGGGUGAAAGGCCAAUCAAACCGGGAGAUAGCUGGUUCUCCCCGAAAGCUAUUUAGGUAGCGCCUCGUGAAUUCAUCUUCGGGGGUAGAGCACUGUUUCGGCUAGGGGGUCAUCCCGACUUACCAACCCGAUGCAAACUACGAAUACCGAAGAAUGUUAUCACGGGAGACACACGGCGGGUGCUAACGUCCGUCGUGAAGAGGGAAACAACCCAGACCGCCAGCUAAGGUCCCAAAGUCAUGGUUAAGUGGGAAACGAUGUGGGAAGGCACAGACAGCCAGGAUGUUGGCUUAGAAGCAGCCAUCAUUUAAAGAAAGCGUAAUAGCUCACUGGUCGAGUCGGCCUGCGCGGAAGAUGUAACGGGGCUAAACCAUGCACCGAAGCUGCGGCAGCGACACUAUGUGUUGUUGGGUAGGGGAGCGUUCUGUAAGCCUGCGAAGGUGUGCUGUGAGGCAUGCUGGAGGUAUCAGAAGUGCGAAUGCUGACAUAAGUAACGAUAAAGCGGGUGAAAAGCCCGCUCGCCGGAAGACCAAGGGUUCCUGUCCAACGUUAAUCGGGGCAGGGUGAGUCGACCCCUAAGGCGAGGCCGAAAGGCGUAGUCGAUGGGAAACAGGUUAAUAUUCCUGUACUUGGUGUUACUGCGAAGGGGGGACGGAGAAGGCUAUGUUAGCCGGGCGACGGUUGUCCCGGUUUAAGCAUGUAGGCUGGUUAUCCAGGCAAAUCCGGAUAAUCAAGGCUGAGGUGUGAUGACGAGGCACUACGGUGCUGAAGUAACAAAUGCCCUGCUUCCAGGAAAAGCCUCUAAGCAUCAGGUAACAUCAAAUCGUACCCCAAACCGACACAGGUGGUCAGGUAGAGAAUACCAAGGCGCUUGAGAGAACUCGGGUGAAGGAACUAGGCAAAAUGGUGCCGUAACUUCGGGAGAAGGCACGCUGGUGUGUAGGUGAAGUCCCUGCGGAUGGAGCUGAGACCAGUCGAAGAUACCAGCUGGCUGCAACUGUUUAUUAAAAACACAGCACUGUGCAAACACGAAAGUGGACGUAUACGGUGUGACGCCUGCCCGGUGCCGGAAGGUUAAUUGAUGGGGUUAUCCGUAAGGAGAAGCUCUUGAUCGAAGCCCCGGUAAACGGCGGCCGUAACUAUAACGGUCCUAAGGUAGCGAAAUUCCUUGUCGGGUAAGUUCCGACCUGCACGAAUGGCGUAAUGAUGGCCAGGCUGUCUCCACCCGAGACUCAGUGAAAUUGAACUCGCUGUGAAGAUGCAGUGUACCCGCGGCAAGACGGAAAGACCCCGUGAACCUUUACUAUAGCUUGACACUGAACAUUGAGCCUUGAUGUGUAGGAUAGGUGGGAGGCUUUGAAGCGUGGACGCCAGUCUGCGUGGAGCCAACCUUGAAAUACCACCCUUUAAUGUUUGAUGUUCUAACGUUGGCCCCUUACCGGGGUUGCGGACAGUGUCUGGUGGGUAGUUUGACUGGGGCGGUCUCCUCCCAAAGCGUAACGGAGGAGCACGAAGGUUAGCUAAUCCUGGUCGGACAUCAGGAGGUUAGUGCAAUGGCAUAAGCUAGCUUGACUGCGAGCGUGACGGCGCGAGCAGGUGCGAAAGCAGGUCAUAGUGAUCCGGUGGUUCUGAAUGGAAGGGCCAUCGCUCAACGGAUAAAAGGUACUCCGGGGAUAACAGGCUGAUACCGCCCAAGAGUUCAUAUCGACGGCGGUGUUUGGCACCUCGAUGUCGGCUCAUCACAUCCUGGGGCUGAAGUAGGUCCCAAGGGUAUGGCUGUUCGCCAUUUAAAGUGGUACGCGAGCUGGGUUUAGAACGUCGUGAGACAGUUCGGUCCCUAUCUGCCGUGGGCGCUGGAGAAUUGAGGGGGGCUGCUCCUAGUACGAGAGGACCGGAGUGGACGCAUCACUGGUGUUCGGGUUGUCAUGCCAAUGGCACUGCCCGGUAGCUAAAUGCGGAAGAGAUAAGUGCUGAAAGCAUCUAAGCACGAAACUUGCCCCGAGAUGAGUUCUCCCUGAGACU
rnacentral:rRNA from 1 species